UGCAGAAAUUCAGUGCGAUGCAGUUCAGAUCUAGCAGCACUUACCUUAAUUGAAAUAUUCUCUUUGAACGAGGUGAGAAAUCAGUCAAAUCAACCGUGAACGGGGUGGAGAGAUCGAAGUUUUCAAUCAACACCCUCCAAGUAGCUGCCUGCGGUCAAUCUGUGCUCCAGAUAUUCUUUGCAUUUAAUCUGUCAGCAGAGUCAACAAUACCAAAGUCUUAAUGCCAGGUUAUGAUCAACAAAGAAGGAUAAAAGCAGAAGGAAAGAAGAGGAAGAAGAGGAGGAGGAAGAGGAAUACCUGGAGGAUGGAAAGAACAGAACCAAGUAGUGUAGACUACACGGGACUACACAGGACUAGAGUAGAACAGGCAUUUCUGGAACAGUCUGAUCUUGGAAGAGCAAAUAUUAUUUCACAUAUUCUUUUUUAAAUUGUAUACACACAAAGCAACACUGUUUUAUUUUUUAUUGUGGGCUGCCAUUUAGAAUAUUAGAAAGCUCCUGUUUGAAAGUGUUAACACAGAUGUUUAUUAUAAAUACCUUUAUAUUUAGAUUAUUCAUGACCUACAAUUACAUUUUUCCCAGAAAGCCACAUUUUCAAAACUAAACUCCUAUUUGAUAUUAAAAUAACAACUUUAUUCCAACUCAGCACAAUUUCAAAUUCAAGAUUUAAAACUACUUUAAAUUAAGUUUUUGUGAUCAGGGCCCACAUGUUGGAAUUAAUGGCUAAAUUAAGGAGCAGUUCUAUAAUGGUUUGGUGUCACACAUGUUUGAAUUGAUGCAUUAUUCUAAAAUUCGAUUAUACAAUCUAACCUUGCCACACAUAUCUUUGUGGUCUAUAUUUUGGUAAUUACUAUUUUUAAAAAAAUAGUGUUUUAAAAAUGUAUUUAUGUAAUGCUUUUAUUUUUUUCUGAUAGUUCAUAGUUUGUUGUGUUACAACUAAAUCAUAGUGGAAGAGUAAAGACCUUCCUAUUAAAAUUGUUUUGUAUCAGAACAAUUACAAGACUCACUAUUAACACAACUCCACCUUACUUGUCACCAUGGC